rnacentral:rRNA from 1 species
GACGAACGCUGGCGGCGUGCUUAACACAUGCAAGUCGAACGGUGAAGCGCCUUCCUUUUGGUGGGUGUGGAUGAGUGGCGAACGGGUGAGUAACACGUGAGUAACCUGCCCCCUUCUUCUGGAUAACCGCAUGAAAGUGUGGCUAAUACGGGAUAUUCUGGGUCUGUCGCAUGAUGGGUCUGGGAAAGAUAUUGUUUCGGUGGGGGAUGGGCUCGCGGCCUAUCAGCUUGUUGGUGGGGUGAUGGCCUACCAAGGCGGUGACGGGUAGCCGGCCUGAGAGGGUGGACGGGCACACUGGGAAUGAGACACGGCCCAGACUCCUACGGGAGGCAGCAGUGGGGAAUAUUGCACAAUGGGCGGAAGCCUGAUGCAGCGACGCCGCGUGAGGGAUGGAGGCCUUCGGGUUGUGAACCUCUUUCGCCAGUGAAGCAGGCCUGCCUCGUUUGUGGGUGGGUUGACGGUAGCUGGAGAAGAAGCGCCGGCUAACUACGUG